CAAGUGGACGGGCGAAGCCUGCUCCGCCCCUCCGCGCUGAGCGAAGAAGGCCUCCGGGCCGUAAAGCUCUCUCGCAAGGGAAGAAACGAUGCAGUCGAAUAAACUGUGUUAAUGACGGUACCUUGAUAAGAAGCACCGGCUAACUACGUGCCAGCAGCAGCGGUAAUACGUAGGGUGCAAGCGUUAAUCGGAAUUACUGGGCGUAAAGCGUGCGCAGGCGGUUUUGUAAGUCAGAUGUGAAAUCCCCGAGCUCAACUUGGGAACUGCGUUUGAAACUACAAGACUAGAAUAUGUCAGAGGGGGGUAGAAUUCCACGUGUAGCAGUGAAAUGGGGAGAGAUGUGGAGGAAUACCAAUGGCGAAGGCAGCCCCCUGGGAUAAUAUUGACGCUCAUGCAUGAAAG
rnacentral:rRNA from 1 species